rnacentral:rRNA from 1 species
UUAUAGUUUGAUCCUGGCUCAGGAUGAACGCUAGCGACAGGCUUAACACAUGCAAGUCGAGGGGUAGAAGGCUUCGGCCUUUGAGACCGGCGCACGGGUGCGAAACGCGUAUACAAUCUACCUAUUACAGGGGGAUAGCCCAGAGAAAUUUGGAUUAAUACCCCAUAGUAUUAUAGAGUGGCAUCAUUUUAUAAUUAAAGUUGAGGCGGUAAUAGAUGAGUAUGCGUCCUAUUAGCUAGUUGGUGAGGUAACGGCUCACCAAGGCUACGAUAGGUAGGGGUCCUGAGAGGGAGAUCCCCCACACUGGUACUGAGACACGGACCAGACUCCUACGGGAGGCAGCAGUGAGGAAUAUUGGUCAAUGGACGCAAGUCUGAACCAGCCAUGUCGCGUGCAGGAAGACGGCCUUAUGGGUUGUAAACUGCUUUUCUAUAGGGAGAAACCCCCUUUCGUGAGAGGGGCUGACGGUACUAUAGGAAUAAACACCGGCUAACUCCGUGCCAGCAGCCGCGGUAAUACGGGAGGGUGUAAGCGUUAUCCGGAAUCAUUGGGUUUAAAGGGUCCGUAGGCGGACUGAUAAGUCAGAGGUGAAAUCCCACAGCUUAACUGUGGAACUGCCUUUGAUACUGUCAGUCUUGAGUUAUAUUGAAGUAGAUGGAAUGUGUAGUGUAGCGGUGAAAUGCAUAGAUAUUACACAGAACACCGAUUGCGAAGGCAGUCUACUAAGUAUAUACUGACGCUGAGGGACGAAAGCGCGGGGAUCAAACAGGAUUAGAUACCCUGGUAGUCCACGCCGUAAACGAUGGAUACUAGCUGUUGGAUCGUGAGGUUCAGUGGCUAAGCAAAAGUGAUAAGUAUCCCACCUG